UACGGAGGGUGCAAGCGUUAAUCGGAAUUACUGGGCGUAAAGCGCACGUAGGCGGCUAUGUAAGUCGGAUGUGAAAGCCCCGGGCUCAACCUGGGAAUUGCAUUCGAUACUGCAUGGCUAGAGUAUGGUAGAGGAGAGGGGAAUUCCCGGUGUAGCGGUGAAAUGCGUAGAUAUCGGGAGGAACAUCAGUGGCGAAGGCGCCUCUCUGGACCAAUACUGACGCUGAGGUGCGAAAGCGUGGGUAGCGAACAGG
rnacentral:rRNA from 1 species